CGGAGGAUCCAAGCGUUAUCCGGAAUCAUUGGGUUUAAAGGGUCCGUAGGCGGUUUAAUAAGUCAGUGGUGAAAGCCUAUCGCUUAACGAUAGAACGGCCAUUGAUACUGUUAGACUUGAAUUAGUGGGAAGUAACUAGAAUAUGUAGUGUAGCGGUGAAAUGCUUAGAUAUUACAUGGAAUACCAAUUGCGAAGGCAGGUUACUAUCACUAUAUUGACGCUGAUGGACGAAAGCGUGGGGAGCGAACAGGAUUAGAUACCCUGGUAGUCCACGCCGUAAACGAUGGAUACUAGCUGUUCGGAGCAAUCUGAGUGGCUAAGCGAAAGUGAUAAGUAUCCCACCUGGGGAGUACGUUCGCAAGAAUG
rnacentral:rRNA from 1 species